GACGAACCGUGCGAACGUUGUUCGGAAUCAUUGGGCUUAAAGGGCGCGUAGGCGGGCUGCCAAGUUCGGGGUGAAAUCCUCCCGCUUAACGGGAGAACGGCCUCGAAUACUGGCGGUCUCGAGGGAGGUAGGGGCGUGCGGAACUAUGGGUGGAGCGGUGAAAUGCGUUGAUAUCCAUAGGAACUCCGGUGGCGAAGGCGGCACGCUGGACCUCUUCUGACGCUGAGGCGCGAAAGCCAGGGGGAGCGAACGGGG
rnacentral:rRNA from 1 species